rnacentral:tRNA from 1 species
GUCCUAGUCGACGUUGUACGACUGCCUUGUAAGCGGUAGGUCGUCGGUUCGAUCCCGACCUCCGGCUCCA